rnacentral:rRNA from 1 species
UACAGAGGGGGCAAGCGUUAUUCGGAAUUAUUGGGCGUAAAGGGCGCGUAGGCGGCCUUGCAAGUGACGGGUGAAAUCCCUCGGCUUAACCGAGGAACUGCCUGUCAGACUGCUGGGCUUGAGACCGGGAGAGGUGAGUGGAAUUCCCAGUGUAGCGGUGAAAUGCGUAGAUAUUGGGAGGAACACCAGUGGCGAAGGCGGCUCACUGGACCGGUACUGACGCUGAGGCGCGAAAGCGUGGGGAGCGAACAGG